rnacentral:rRNA from 1 species
UACGUAGGGGGCAAGCGUUGUUCGGAUUCAUUGGGCGUAAAGGGUGCGUAGGCGGCGCGGUAAGUCGGGUGUGAAAUCUCGGAGCUUAACUCCGAAACUGCAUUCGAUACUGCCGUGCUUGAGGACUGGAGAGGAGACUGGAAUUUACGGUGUAGCAGUGAAAUGCGUAGAUAUCGUAAGGAAGACCAGUGGCGAAGGCGGGUCUCUGGACAGUUCCUGACGCUGAGGCACGAAGGCCAGGGGAGCAAACGGG